rnacentral:rRNA from 1 species
AAUGAACGCUGGCGGCGCGCCUAAUACAUGCAAGUCGAGCGAGAAGACGUAGCAAUACGUUUGUAAAGCGGCGAACGGGUGAGGAAUACAUGGGUAACCUACCCUCGAGUGGGGAGUAACUAGCCGAAAGGUUAGCUAAUACCGCGUACGCUUCUUGGACUUCGGUUCAGGGAGGGAAAGACGAUGCCGAGGGUAUCGCGCUCUUGGAUGGGCUCAUGUCCUAUCAGCUUGUUGGGAGGUAACGGCUCACCAAGGCUUCGACGGGUAGCUGGUCUGAGAGGACGAUCAGCCACACUGGCACUGCGACACGGGCCAGACUCCUACGGGAGGCAGCAGUAAGGAAUAUUGCGCAAUGGGCGAAAG